GACGAACGCUGGCGGCGCGCUUAACACAUGCAAGUCGAGCGCAGCGGCGGACGGGUGAGUAACACGUGAGUAACCUGCCUUAGACAUUGGGAUAGCCGCGGGAAACCGGGAUUAAUACCAAAUGGUCUAAGAUGGACUCGCGUCCCAUUAACUAGUUGGUGGUGUACGGCCCACCAAGGCGACGAUGGGUAGCCGGCGUGUGAGGCGGAGCGGCGACCUUGGAACUGAGAAACGGUCCAAACUCGACGGGAGGCAGCAGUGGGGAAUAUUGCACAAUGGAGGGAACUCUGAUGCAGCGACGACGCGUGAACGAAGAAGGCUGUCGAGUCGUAAAGUUCUUUUAUAUGGGAAGCGGUACCAUAAGAAAAAGCCCCGGCUAACUACGUGCCAGCAGCCGCGGUAAUAC
rnacentral:rRNA from 1 species